rnacentral:rRNA from 1 species
GCCUGGUCAGUCUUUUGGGAAAUCCGGCAGCUCAACUGUCGGGCUAUCAAAAGAUACUGCCAGGCUCGAGGCCGGGAGAGGUGAGAGGUACUUCAUGGGUAGGGGUGAAAUCUUGUAAUCCUUGAAGGACCACCAGUGGCGAAGGCGUCUCACCAGAACGGAUCUGACGGCAAGGGACGAAAGCUAGGGGCACGAACCGGAUUACAUACCCGGGUAGUCCUAGCCGUAAACGAUACUCGCUAGGUGUCGGCCACGGUGCGACCGUGGUCGGUGCCGUAGGGAAGCCGUGAAGCGAGCCACCUGGGAAGUACGGCCGCAAGGCUGAAACUUAAAGGAAUUGGCGGGGGAGCACUACGACGGGUGGAGCCUGCGGUUUAAUUGGAUUCAACGCCGGAAAUCUCACCGGGACCGACAGCGAUAUGAAGGCCAGGCUGAAGACCUUGCCGGAUUAGCUGAGAGGUGGUGCAUGGCCGUCGUCAGAUCGUACUGUGAUAGCAUA